rnacentral:tRNA from 1 species
GGGCUGGGGCUUAGUGGUAGAGCGCUUGUCUAGUACAUGUGGGGCCCUGGGUUUAAUCCUCAGCACCACA